rnacentral:rRNA from 1 species
AUGAUCUGUCACCCUCGAGCUUCAUAUGAAGUCCACCACCCCGAUGAGAUUUUCUUACACGACGUGUACUCAAAGAUAGUGGAUCAUUCACCUCGAUAUAAAGGAAGCUUUUUAAAGAUUGAUGUCCUUUCUCUCUACAAUGAGGUUUUAAGUCUCUGUUCACAGAGGAGUAGACAUUUGUACAAAUUGGAUUCCUUGGUUAGGAAGGCUGCAAAGAUGAAGGCUAAGUUAGAAAAGCAUCCUUCCGUCGAAGUGCCUAACGAGAGCAAGUCGAAAGCAGCUUCUGAGCAAACUGGAAAGCUUGAGGCAGGUAAUUCUGUUUUGGGUUCAGUGAUGGGAGAAUUAGAUGCAACAAGCACUUUGCUUAAAGAUAAAGAAUCUGAAGUUGUUACACGUCAUGACAGCGUCAGACUCUUGGAAGAUGAUGCGACUACCAGGCUCAUUGAUGUGACAAUUGAUCCUGAAGAGAAAGAAGCACCAGACUUGACUCUGGUGAUGAAAGAAGAAAAUGAAAACGAUGGGCUUCUGGCCAAGCUGAAUCAUCUCGAGGCUCUGGCACUGGAAGUUAGAAAAACUGGUGAGGAAGCCAACAAGGUCGUUCAAUUGAUUCACAAACUAGUAGAUGUGCUGAUGGAAAAAGCAAAUGAAAAUGGUGUCCUGCUGGAGAAGGUGAAUCAUCUCGAGGCUCAGCUACUGAUAGCCAAAAAAGCUAGCGAGGAAGCGAAGGCAGAGACCCCUGUCAACUGGAGGAUAAACCAUUAG